CGCACAUUGCGCCCGCCAGUAUUCUGGCGGGCAUGCCUGUUCGAGCGUCAUUUCAACCCUCAAGCCCCUUUGGACUUGGUGUUGGGGACCGGCGAUGGACAAACCGUCCUGUCGCCGCCCCCUAAAUGACUUGGCGGCCUCGUCGCGGCCCUCCUCUGCGUAGUAGCACACACCUCGCAACAGGAGCCCGGCGAAUGGCCACUGCCGUAAAACCCCCCAACUUUUUUCAGAGUUGACCUCGAAUCAGGUAGGAAUACCCGCUGAACUUAA
rnacentral:misc_RNA from 1 species